GAUGAACGCUGGCGGCGUGCCUAAUACAUGCAAGUCGAGCGAACGGACGAGAAGCUUGCUUCUCUGAUGUUAGCGGCGGACGGGUGAGUAACACGUGGAUAACCUACCUAUAAGACUGGGAUAACUUCGGGAAACCGGAGCUAAUACCGGAUAAUAUUUUGAACCGCAUGGUUCAAAAGUGAAAGACGGUCUUGCUGUCACUUAUAGAUGGAUCCGCGCUGCAUUAGCUAGUUGGUAAGGUAACGGCUUACCAAGGCAACGAUGCAUAGCCGACCUGAGAGGGUGAUCGGCCACACUGGAGCUGAGACACGGUCCAGACUCCUACGGGAGGCAGCAGUAGGGAAUCUUCCGCAAUGGGCGAGAGCCUGACGGAGCAACGCCGCGUGAGUGAUGAAGGUCUUCGGAUCGUAAAACUCUGUUAUUAGGGAAGAACAUAUGUGUAAGUAACUGUGCACAUCUUGACGGUACCUAAUCAGAAAGCCACGGCUAACUACGUG
rnacentral:rRNA from 1 species